rnacentral:rRNA from 1 species
AGCGAACGCUGGCGGCAGGCCUAACACAUGCAAGUCGAACGAACUCUUCGGAGUUAGUGGCGGACGGGUGAGUAACACGUGGGAACGUGCCUUUAGGUUCGGAAUAACUCAGGGAAACUUGUGCUAAUACCGAAUGUGCCCUUCGGGGGAAAGAUUUAUCGCAUUUCGAGCGGCCCGCGUCUGAUUAGCUAGUUGGUGAGGUAAAGGCUCACCAAGGCGCCGAUCAGUAGCUGGUCUGAGAGGAUGAUCAGCCACAUUGGGACUGAGACACGGCCCAAACUCCUACGGGAGGCAGCAGUGGGGAAUCGUGCGCAAUGGGCGAAAGCCUGACGCAGCCAUGCCGGGUGAAUGAUGAAGGUCUUAGGAUUGUAAUAUUCUUUCACCGGGGACGAUAAUGACGGUACCCGGAGAAGAAGCCCCGGCUAACUUCGUG